rnacentral:rRNA from 1 species
UGCUCAGGAUGAACGCUAGCGGCAGGCUUAACACAUGCAAGUCGAGGGGUAACAGGAGUGCUUGCACUCGCUGACGACCGGCGCACGGGUGCGUAACGCGUAUAGAAUCUACCUUAUAGUAAGGGAUAGCCCAGAGAAAUUUGGAUUAAUACCUUAUAGUAUCUUAAGUGAGCAUUCACUAAGGAUUAAAGAUUUAUUGCUAUAAGAUGACUAUGCGUUCUAUUAGCUAGUUGGUAUGGUAACGGCAUACCAAGGCUACGAUAGAUAGGGGUCCUGAGAGGGAGAUCCCCCACACUGGUACUGAGACACGGACCAGACUCCUACGGGAGGCAGCAGUGAGGAAUAUUGGACAAUGGAGGCAACUCUGAUCCAGCCAUGCCGCGUGUAGGAAGACUGCCCUAUGGGUUGUAAACUACUUUUAUAGAGGAAGAAACCAUCUCACGUGUGAGAUGCUGACGGUACUCUACGAAUAAGGAUCGGCUAACUCCGUGCCAGCAGCCGCGGUAAUACGGAGGAUCCAAGCGUUAUCCGGAAUCAUUGGGUUUAAAGGGUCCGUAGGCGGGUUUGUAAGUCAGUGGUGAAAGUUUUCGGCUCAACCGGAAAAUUGCCAUUGAUACUGCAAGUCUUGAAUUAUUGUGAAGUGGUUAGAAUGUGUAGUGUAGCGGUGAAAUGCAUAGAUAUUACACAGAAUACCGAUUGCGAAGGCAGAUCACUAACAAUUAAUUGACGCUAAGGGACGAAAGCGUGGGUAGCGAACAGGAUUAGAUACCCUGGUAGUCCACGCCGUAAACGAUGGUUACUAGCUGUUCGGACUUCGGUCUGAGUG